GGCUCAGGAUGAACGCUAGCGGCAGGCUUAACACAUGCAAGUCGAGGGGUAUGCCGAUUUAUCGGCAGAGACCGGCGCACGGGUGCGUAACGCGUAUGCAAUCUGCCUUUCACAGAGGGAUAGCCCAGAGAAAUUUGGAUUAAUACCUCAUAGUAUAGCGGUUUCGCAUGAAACCGCUAUUAAAGUUCCAACGGUGAAAGAUGAGCAUGCGUCCCAUUAGCUAGAUGGUAAGGUAACGGCUUACCAUGGCUACGAUGGGUAGGGGUCCUGAGAGGGAGAUCCCCCACACUGGUACUGAGACACGGACCAGACUCCUACGGGAGGCAGCAGUGAGGAAUAUUGGUCAAUGGACGCAAGUCUGAACCAGCCAUGCCGCGUGCAGGAUGACGGUCCUAUGGAUUGUAAACUGCUUUUGUACGAGAAGAAACAACAUUACGUGUAAUGUCUUGACGGUAUCGUAAGAAUAAGGAUCGGCUAACUCCGUGCCAGCAGCCGCGGUAAUACGGAGGAUCCAAGCGUUAUCCGGAAUCAUUGGGUUUAAAGGGUCCGUAGGCGGUUUAGUAAGUCAGUGGUGAAAGCCCAUCGCUCAACGGUGGAACGGCCAUUGAUACUGCUAGACUUGAAUUAUUAGGAAGUAACUAGAAUAUGUAGUGUAGCGGUGAAAUGCUUAGAGAUUACAUGGAAUACCAAUUGCGAAGGCAGGUUACUACUAAUUGAUUGACGCUGAUGGACGAAAGCGUGGGGAGCGAACAGGAUUAGAUACCCUGGUAGUCCACGCCGUAAACGAUGGAUACUAGCUGUUGGGGGCAACUUCAGUGGCUAAGCGAAAGUGAUAAGUAUCCC
rnacentral:rRNA from 1 species